UGGGGGGAUAAGGGAGUUUAACCACCUCUCAGCGUUCUUUUUUUUUUUUUUUUCCCUGAAAAAAGGAAAAAGCGCACAGCACACAGUUUCAAGCCAGCUUCAGAUCAAAACUCCAGAAGUGUUGACAAGAUGCCUAUUCGUAGGGUUCCCUCAGAAGAGCCAUGGUGUUUGUGAAGAGAAGAGUAGUGAUUGCUCUGCCAGAAGCAGCUCCUCUUUAAGCUCCACCUUUCUUGAUGAAUUUCUUAAGGCUGAAGGAAUGGAGAGUGGGACAUGGGGUAAUCUUUACCCCUUUUGUUAAAACAGGAGGCAGCCAUGGGCUGGGAGAUCAUAGCCCUUCCUAGGCAGAAUCCUGUUCACUGCCAAGCUAUAAUAAUUAUUACUAUUUUGCAAUUUGAAAUAUAUUCUGGUUGAUUUUCUUUUUUUUUUUUUUUUUUUUUGACGGAGUCUUGCUCUGCCGCCCAGGCUGGAGUGCAGUGGCCGGAUCUCAGCUCACUGCAAGCUCUGCCUCCCGGGUUCACGCCAUUCUCCUGCCUCAGCCUCCCGAGUAGCUGGGACUACAGGCGCCCUCCCUCGCCUGGCUAGUUUUUUUGUAUUUUUUUAGUAGAGACGGGGUUUCACCCUGUUAGCCAGGAUGGUCUCAAUCUCCCGACCUCGUGAUCCGCCCGUCUCGGCCUCCCAAAGUGCUGGCAUUACAGGCUUGAGCCACCGCGCCCGGCCUUCUGGUUGAUUUUCUAAAUGUGAAGACUUACUAAAUGAAUUUUAGAUCAUUCUCCAAAGGAGAUUUUUUUGCUCUUCUCAUCUUUUCCAACAGUGUUCUCCUGUUUGUGGAGCUAAGGUGAAGAGGGGACACCUGUCUGUUUUAUCAGGCAGUCCGUAUCUAUGAGACCAGGAAAUAUUUUCUUAAACUCAUGGGGAGACAGCAGAUUCUUGCCUUGGUGAGGUCAUUGCUGUGCCAUAUGUCCUACCCCCCUGUCUUCAUGCAGGGAAGUUGGAAAUGGGGGCUACAUAUGCUCUCUCCUCCCCAUCUACAAGAGUUGUGGUUUUCCAUCUGAUUCUUCCACUCUUGUCAGGGGAAGAAGGGGGCCUGGUAUCUCAGGCAGAUUGUUGAAUUCUUGUUCUAUCCCUUCUCUAUCCCACCCUGCCUUGAUAAUAUGUUAGCCCAUACCCCAAAUAACUGUCUAUAUUAGACACCCCCAGCCAGUUUCUGGCUGCCUGUCUUUGCUGCCAUGUUCUUUUUUACAAGAAGGAAAGAGUUCUUGCUAUUUUUUUUCAUAAUUUACUAUUUAUGAUGUAUUUAAGUGUUUUAUUAAGGACACAGUUCUGUUAGGGGUGGGAGGGAAUAUUUAAGGGAGGGCUGGGUCUUAGGGAAAGGAAUGGGGAAUCAACAUUUUUAUGAAGUGUCACUAUUUGCCUUUACUUUGUAUUGUUCAGAAAUGGCAAAUACAAUAUAAAAGUGAUACAUGGUUUUAAUGUAAUAAACUUUAAUCGG
rnacentral:lncRNA from 1 species